CGCAUCUGUGCAUGCAGCAUAUCAAUAAGCGGAGGAAAAGAAACUGACAAGGAUUCCCCUAGUAACGGCGAGUGAAGCGGGAAGAGCUCAAACUUGAAAUCUUAAAGGGUUUCCCUUUACGAAUUGUAGUUUAAAGAAGUGUUUUCUGUUGAGGUUUUGGUAAAAGUUCUUUGGAAUAGGACAUCAUAGAGGGUGAGAAUCCCGUAUUUGACCUUUACUUUCAACUUUGUGAUACACUUUCAAAGAGUCGGAUUGUUUGGGAAUGCAGUCCAAAAUGGGUGGUAAAUUUCAUCUAAAGCUAAAUAUUGGCGAGAGACCGAUAGCGAACAAGUACCGUGAGGGAAAGAUGAAAAGAACUUUGAAAAGAGAGUUAAACAGUACGUGAAAUUGUCAAAAGGGAAGCGUUUGACACCAGUGUUGUUUUUCUGAAAAUCAAUUAAAGAACUGUUUAUGCUAAGUUGUUUAGACUUUAUCAGCUAACUGUUUAGUUUUGAGCUUUUCUUUAAUGCACUUUUCAGUUAACAAGUCAACAUCAAUUUCUUUUGCUGUAAAAAAGCUUGAGGAAGGUGGCUUGAGAUUCGUCUUAAGUGUUUAUAGCCUCUUGCCUAUGCAGUCGGAGAGAUUGAGGUCUGCAGCGUAGAUCCUUCGGGGCUAAAUGCAUUUGUGCUAAGUUAUAACAUUUUAUAGACAACUUGUUGACUAUGAUUUGUCUUGUAGCUUACUCGCUUAUGUUAUUUUACCUACGCUUAGGAUGUUGAGCGCAUGUCUCUCUCU
rnacentral:rRNA from 1 species